rnacentral:lncRNA from 1 species
GUUGUCUUGUGGUUAAGUCCUUGAUCUUUGAUUAUGUCAAAGUCACUCCAUUCGAGAGUGUCCACGGCAUAGUUGGGGUUAAGCCACUUAGCCAUGGAGGCGAGUGAAUGCGCAACAAGGGAUCUCUAACCUUCAAACCGUUUGAGGGAGAAUACUCUAUGAUAUGAUUAAGAAUCUCUGGCUAGAGUAUGAAUGAGAUUUAGGAAGUCGUUCCAAAUCACAUUCAAAGUAAUCAUAUAAGUAAAUGAAUCACAUUGGAUAGUAGACAUGAAUAAACUAUCAAUACAAACAAUGUGAUCAAGAGUAUUGUAUUAGAGAAAGACCGUAUUGCAUUGUAAUCCUAAACUGAAUAGGUUCUCCACCUCUUCUGAUUAGCUUGGGUAACCAUGACAUACUGCUAGGUGUCACUCAUGGUUUGUGGAAGCCCUAAACCUGUAUAAACACUAAAGGGAGAAUUGAAAGUAAGUUUCAAUUCACAAUCGAUUUGAAAGAGUUUUAAUCGC